GAGCUAUCCUGGCCAGGCAGUUGACGUUCAUCAGCAGGUGCUUGCAGCUGGAGAUACUUUAUCAACACAGAACACCUGGACACCUUGAUCUGCACUGUCCACCUAGGACAGGAGCAAAGAAAGGAACACCGUCCCCCUUAAGCUGGCAGCCCUUUCAGCUGGAGAUACUUUAUCAACACAGAACACCUGGACACCUUGAUGCCGGCAGACAGAUGCUGCCUGGUUGGUAUUGGGUAAAGUACAGCCUUGACUUCACAUCAUGAAGAAUAUGGGUGAGGCCUGCGGAUCCUGCAAAGCGUGAGCAGUCCACCUGUGUGACACACCUGAUCCACCAGUGAUUUCACAUCAUGAAGAAUAUGUGAGAGGCCUGCGGAUCCUGCAAGGUGUGAGCAGACCACCUAUGUGACACCUGGUCCACCAGUCCAAAAAACCAGGACAGUAAGCCAGCCAAAGAAGACACACACACACACAAACACUGUCAGCUUCUCCUUGGUGGGACAAUAAGAUGACUCAUUGAUGAAUGCAAGGCUGACGAAACUAGUCAGAAGGAUGGCUGACAUUCUCACCCUGGAUGUUGAUGAAGAGGAGAUCAAGCAAUGGGGAUCGGUGCAUCCAGAGGUGAUGGAGGGGGCGCCAGGAAUGAAAUUUAUUAAAUUCAUACCAAAUAUGGACUGCCCUGCCUGCCUUGACACUAAGACAUUUGCAUCGCGACGUGACUUUGAAGAACAUUGGGCGCGAACGCAUCACAGGGUGCAUAAAUCAUUUGCUUGCCCUGUAAAGAAGUGUCAGGAUUGUCGCUCUUCACUAAAAAGUUUAAAAUACCAUAUUGCGCACAAGCAUUUAAAUUCAAAUGUUAUUACCUCUCAGGUUGAUAAGCUUUGCGCAGAUGUGACUGUUGAAGUGGAACGAAAUGAAAAUUUCGUUGACCCUGGGGUUUACUGUUUGUCCUGGCAGACAUGGCGUCCCCGGGGCAAGAGGGCGGGUAAGAAGGGGAAAUCAGCGAAAGCAUCUUCCUCUUGCUCUGCCCUGUCUGUCCAAACGUCACAGACUGUCACAGAACCUAAGAAAGAAAUUGAUUCAGUUCCUCUCAAAUGUUCACUCCCAAAUAUGCCAUCUGUGUCCGAUCUGCAGAUGGAAAUUGCAGCUCUCAGAGAGCGCAAUACUGUGAUGCAGCAGGCUCUUGCCGCUCGCCAUGGGGCACACUGGCCUACCUGUCUGGAUAUUCCCACAAACAGGCCCCAGCUUGAUGAAUUUAUCGCCAAGGGCUGGGAGGCAAUGGCCGUGCUACAGUCUGCCGAGGGUAGGCGAUUUCAGCAGCAGCUUGACCAGCUAUGUAUAUUGUACGUAUUAGAUCAAAUAAAUGUUUCAUAGUAAUAUUUAACAGUUAUAGUUAGCUCCAGUGAUCGGCUCAA
rnacentral:misc_RNA from 1 species